rnacentral:sRNA from 12 species
AGUCCUCGCCAAUAGGACUAUAAAUAUAGAAAGCGAUUGUAAAGUUUCGCCUGCGGUUUCGUAAUGCCGACGCAAUAAAAGGAAGGGGAUUGUAUAUGUGUUCCUAUUCAAACAAUGCAAUUCCUAAAUGGUAGAAGAUGUUGCGAAGCCAGUACCGCCUGGCGAUGAAAUGGCGGACGAAUUAGCAACAAAGGGUAAGGUUUAAUCGCCGAAGUU